rnacentral:lncRNA from 1 species
CCUUUUCUCUGCCUUUGACGUCGUCCUAACGGGUAUUUUUUUUCAAUUUUCUCCCCAAAAGAUGCUAUCUUGAUCCUUGUAGAUCAUUUUGGUGCCUCCAUUCGGCUCAGACCCGUCAUUUUGGUGUCUUGAUUGCUCAUCCCCCUCUGCGCCGUCACCUUCCCCCUCACUGAGGCCGUUGUCGUCGACUGGAAGCUCUUUUAUGCAGAAGGAAAGGGAGGA